CCUACGGGGGGCAGCAGUGGGGAAUAUUGCACAAUGGGGGAAACCCUGAUGCAGCGACGCCGCGUGAGUGAAGAAGUAUUUCGGUAUGUAAAGCUCUAUCAGCAGGAACGAGACAAGACGGUACCUGACUAAUAAGCCCCGGCUAACUACGUGCCAGCAGCCGCGGUAAUACGUAGGGGGCAAGCGUUAUCCGGAAUCACUGGGUGUAAAGGGAGCGUAGACGGCUGUGCAAGCCUGAAGUGAAAGGCGGGGGACCAACCCCUGGACUGCUUUGGGAACUGUACGGCUGGAGUGCAGGAGAGGUAAGUGGAAUUCCUGGUGUAGCGGUGAAAUGCGUAGAUAUUAGGAGGAACACCAGUGGCGAAGGCGGCUUACUGGACUGUAACUGACGUUGAGGCUCGAAAGCGUGGGGAGCAAACAGGAUUAGAUACCCGUGUAGUC
rnacentral:rRNA from 1 species